ensembl:lncRNA
UUUUUUUCUAUUUAUGAGCAGGGCUGCUAGGAACAUUCUUAUAUUCUUGAAGUAUGCAGGAGUUUGUUAGGGUGCACAUCUAAGCAGUCACUGGACAUUCAGAUGCUCAGUUUUCCAAGAUUUUCUGUAUUGUUUUCCAAGUGAUUUCAUACUCAUACCAGCAGUGUACCAGAGACUCCUGAAUCCAUAUCCUGACACCCUCCCAAGAUGAUGUCAUAGAGCUAUGGAAGACCAGGACAGGGAUGUGCAACCAGAAGAUGUUGGCCCCACAGGGGAGGAACCAUCUAGUACUUACAAGCAUCAUCAUUUGAGCUUGGAAGACACCUCUUUUCAAUUCUGCAUGCUGAUGACAAAAGCAUUCUAAGGUUGAGGCAGUGAAGCCACAUGGAGGCAAGCUGCGACAGUAGUUCAACCCCACCACAACCCUUCUGUAAUCUUUUCUGGAAAGAAGAAAAUGUCAACUCCCCAUCCCACAAAAAAGGGUCCAUUUAUUUUCAGAGAAAUGAGUUUUGAGCUCCAGUUUGAUCCAUUGUGGAAGGUCUCAGCCAGCCUCUCACCAGAAGAAAUUGCUGAUUGGAAAGCAGUGCCACCUGCUGAAGAAAGAGAAGGGCUCGGCUGAAGAUCUUAAGAUUCCCUGUGAAGAUUCUGUGUUAUUUCAACCCCUCUUCUGGACUUUUCCUUCUUUCCAUCACUCUCCCAAGGAGCCCAUUUCUGUCUCCUCUACAAGCCCAAAUGCCUUUCCAGACAGGGCCAGCUCCUGCUUGGCUCCCAAGGUCAGAAGUCAGCUGCUCCCCACAGCCACCCUGGGCCUGGUCCCAGGACCCUGCUGCCUCCCCCACCUUCAUCCUUCACUUUUUUGGAGUUCAGGUUCCUGUCCCAGCUUCCAUCAUUCCAAAUUAAGUAGAGAGGAGACUUACCCCAGGAGACCUGAGCCUUGUCCAGGGUCAGGAAUAAACGUGGUCACACAUCACUCAAAGAAACCUGGGGUGCAGGAGAGUCCCUGACGAGGAGCCAUCUUUCUGCAGUGACAGUGUGCACGCUGAUCUUGGCAUGCCGGCAGCAGAGCCUGCAGGAGUGCCGCAGCUGGGCUUGGCUGGUGCACAGGCAGCAGAAGGUGAGUGUCUGAAGUCAGCCUCCUGGGGCUGGUGGGCGUGAGGGAAGAGCAGCUCGCUAAACAUAGGAGCAUAAAUUCUAUUUCUGGGGGGGUGUUUGAACCAGUGGGAUGAGCGACUUCCAAGCACUUCAGGAGGAUCUAGGAACUAACAAAUGAGUGACCCUGCAAUUCUACUCUAACCCCAUCUGCUAGCUACCUUUUUUUGAGCAGCAGAAUAACAUGGAUGUCAUUGGUGUGGGAGGCUAAAAUAUGCCACCCCAAAAUACACUUCCUCGGCACAUUUCGGAGAUGGCUAUUCAGAGAAACUGCAGACACAGGAACAGCUCUGAGAAGGCCUUUUGUAAAAGAAACGGGUGACUCUAAUGGAAAUGCUUGUGAAGUAAACAGGGUGUCAACAGGCCUCUUGAGGCCCCCCUUCUGCCUUACCUCAUUGUAGGGAGGAACAUGUGGACAUCCCUGCCCAGAGCUGGCCACAGGAUGUCUUGGAGCGCUUUCUGAGGGCUCUUACUCAGGAGACUGCCAGCAUAAUAAAAACCUUUGUUCAAGGCA